rnacentral:rRNA from 1 species
AUACGAAGGGGGCUAGCGUUGUUCGGAAUUACUGGGCGUAAAGCGCGCGUAGGCGGACUGAUCAGUUGGGGGUGAAAUCCCAGGGCUUAACCCUGGAACUGCCUCCAAUACUGUCAGUCUUGAGUUCGGGAGAGGUGAGUGGAAUUCCUAGUGUGGAGGUGAAAUUCGUAGAUAUUAGGAAGAACACCAGUGGCGAAGGCGGCUCACUGGCCCGAUACUGACGCUGAGGCGCGAAAGCGUGGGGAGCAAACAGGAUUAGAAACCCUAGUAGUCC